AUACUCCGUCAAUUGUCGACGGAUUUUCAAAAUUCUUUUUUUGUUCGAAAGUAGAUAGUUCUGAGGUGGUCCCAUUGUCACCAAGUUAGGAUCUGAUGAUGGGAUCAUUAGAGAAAUCGAGGGAACUCCUCAAAUAUUAUAGGGAACUAUAUAGUGAUUUUGGUAUAUUCAUCUAGAAUUGAAGCAUUUACAGUCAAAAAGUAACCUUUGAAGAGGUGGAACUGAUGAAGAAGACCAGAAAUGGCCAAUGGAACUUCAUACUCACAUAGAAAUCACAAUAAAGUUAUACUCCGUCAAUUGUCGACGGAUUUUCAAAAUUAUUUUUUUGUUCGAAAGUAAAUAGUUCUCAGCUGGUCCCAUUGUCACCAAGUUAGGAUCUGAUGAUGGGAUCUUAGAGAAAUCGAGGGAACUCCUCAAAUAUUAUAGGGAACUAUAUAGUGAUUUUGGUAUAUUCAUCUAGAAUUGAAGCAUUUACAGUCAAAAAGUAACCUUUGAAGAGGUGGAACUGAUGAAGAAGACCAGAAAUGGCCAAUGGAAC